rnacentral:misc_RNA from 1 species
GUGAAUCAUCGAAUCUUUGAACGCAAAUUGCGCCUUUUUCUGAGGGCAUGUGUGUUUGAGGGCACCAUUUAACAAAUAAUGUGCCGCGUUUUUUGUUGCACACGUUGAUGAGCUUUCUAAGUAUUUUAAAUUAUUGGUGGAGCAUAAUGAACAGCGUGAAAGUUUUUUUCAGGUCGAGGGUAUUAAUAUCUUUGCUUGGGUUGUGCGAAAAC